rnacentral:rRNA from 1 species
AACUUUCAGCGACGGAUGUCUUGGCUCCCACAUCGAUGAAGAACGCAGCGAAAUGCGAUACGUCUUGCGAAUUGCAGAAUCCAGUGAAUCAUCAAAACUUUGAACGCACCUUGCGCUUCCGGGAUAUCCCUGGGAGCACGCCU